GCGGGCAUAGCUCAGUGGUAGAGCAUUAGCUUCCCAAGCUGAGGGUCGUGGGUUCGAGCCCCAUUGCCCGCU
rnacentral:tRNA from 2 species